ensembl:lncRNA
UGCGGAGGUGUUCCGUGCCCCCUAGACACCGCCGCCGACUGCGGAGGUGUUCCGUGUCCCCGGGCCGCCCACUACUGCGGAGGUGUUCCGUGUCCCCGAGCCGGGCCGACCCCCGGUCCGGGCCAGUACCGGUCCGGGCGACUGCGGAGGGGUUCCUUCCCCCCGAGCCGCCGCCGACUGCGGAGGGGUUCCGUGCCCCCGAGCCCCCGCAGCCGACUGCGGAGGUGUUCCGUGUCCCCGAGCUGCCGCCGCCGACUGCGGAGGUGUUCAGUGUCCCCGGGCCGCCGACUACUGCGCAGUCUUUUAGUGAACCUGAUUUGGCCGACGAUCUACAUGCUGUUCUGGACCUUCCUCUUGGUCUUCUCCGCGUACUCCGAGCCUGUCGUCUCCUGUACUGGUGUGGCUGUCAUGUUGACUGGUGUCCCUGUAUAUUUCCUGGGAGUACUCGGAAAACAAGCCCAAGUGUUGUGAUAUUACCAUUGGUAAAAUUACUCAUUUGUCCCAAAAGCUGUGUUCGGUGGUCCAGCCGGAGGAGAGAUGGGAGCCCUGCGAGCCACAAAACAAAGACUGAGACCACAACAAUGAUAAUGAAGAAGACCGAUUGAAACAUGCAUAAUCAAACACUCACUAUGAUGCUCACUUUGGGCUUAAAGAAAAAAAAGUGGUACCUGGGGAAGUGAGAGAAAU